AUACCCUACGGGAGGCAGCAGUGAGGAAUAUUGGUCAAUGGGCGGAAGCCUGAACCAGCCAAGUCGCGUGAGGGAUUAAGGCCCUAUGGGUCGUAAACCUCUUUUGUCAGGGAGCAAGGUCGUCCACGUGUGGGCGUAUGGAGAGUACCUGAAGAAAAAGCAUCGGCUAACUCCGUGCCAGCAGCCGCGGUAAUACGGAGGAUGCGAGCGUUAUCCGGAUUUAUUGGGUUUAAAGGGUGCGUAGGCGGGACCUUAAGUCAGCGGUAAAAUUGCGGUGCUCAACGCCGUAGAGCCGGUGCAACUGG
rnacentral:rRNA from 1 species